AUUGAACGCUGGCGGAAUGCUUUACACAUGCAAGUCGAACGGCAGCACAGGGGCAACCCUGGUGGCGAGUGGCGAACGGGUGAGUAAUAUAUCGGAACGUGCCCAGUCGUGGGGGAUAACGUAGCGAAAGUUACGCUAAUACCGCAUACGAUCUAUGGAUGAAAGCGGGGGAUCGCAAGACCUCGCGCGAUUGGAGCGGCCGAUAUCAGAUUAGGUAGUUGGUGGGGUAAAGGCUCACCAAGCCAACGAUCUGUAGCUGGUCUGAGAGGACGACCAGCCACACUGGGACUGAGACACGGCCCAGACUCAUACGGGAGGCAGCAGUGGGGAAUGUUGGACAAUGGGCGCAAGCCUGAUCCAGCCAUUCCGCGUGCAGGACGAAGGCCUUCGGGUUGUAAACUGCUUUUGUACGGAACGAAAAAGCCUUGGCUAAUACCCAGGGUCCAUGACGGUACCGUAAGAAUAAGCACCGGCUAACUACGUGCCAGCCGCCGCCGCAG
rnacentral:rRNA from 1 species